rnacentral:rRNA from 1 species
AUACGGAGGAUCCGAGCGUUAUCCGGAUUUAUUGGGUUUAAAGGGUGCGCAGGCGGCCAUUUAAGUCAGCGGUUAAAUCGUGGGGCUCAACCCCAUUCUGCCGUUGAUACUGGGUGGCUUGAUUGCGGUCGGGGUUGGCGGAAUUCGUUGUGUAGCGGUGAAAUGCAUAGAUAUGACGAAGAACACCGAUUGCGUAGGCAGCUGACCAGAACGCAAAUGACGCUCAUGCACGAAAGUGCGGGGAUCGAACAGGAUUAGAUACCCUGGUAGUCCGCACAGUAAACGAUGAAUACUUGUUUUCGGCGAUAUAAUGUCGGAGGCAAAGCGAAAGCGAUAAGUAUUCCACCUGGGGAGUACGCCGGCAACGGUGAAACUCAAAUGAAUUGACGGGG